UUUAUAUGUAGACGGAACCAUUCAUAUUUGAGAGGAUUUUGUAAUUUAUGUUACUCCAUAAAAGGUUACUGCAAAGAAAAUAGGAAUAUAAUAUGUGAGCAUUAUUUUGAAAACAGCAAUUAUAAAUAUACACAAAAUAUAUAUACGGAAAGAAACUUUUAGGUUUGAGAUUUUUAUGCAGACCUUCUUGAAGAUUCCACCCCGGACUCGUCCAUUUUUAAUUUUACAUUACGUCACAGACUCCCGCAGCAACUGCAACUGUGCGCCCAAGUCUGCAGUUUUCUGCGCAUUUUACGUCAGCUUCUACCCAGUUUCGGUUGUCAUCGGUAGCAGAACAUCUUUAGCAGUAAGAAGAUUGUGCUCAUGACACACAGCAGAUGGGACCUCUAGAGAAGAAAACAAUUGGUCCAUGAGAAGCUGUACGUAGGAGGAGGCACACAGAUCUUGUCCCAAGCAGCAACAGAUUGAUGGCAGAUUAAGAGAAGCAGAGCUUGGUCCAUGACAAACUGUAUGUGGAAGAAGCAGACAGACUUGAUCCCAACCAGCCAGAAAAGGACACGCAGAUAUAGAUUGCAACCGAUUCUGAAAAGAUGUAUAAAAAAUUAUAUUUUGACGGAAUUGUAAAUUUUCUGCGAUUCUGCAGAUUAACUUAUAACAAUGUAAAAACUUUACCUCAAAUUACAUGUAUUUACAUUAAGACAAUCAGGUUGUGAGAGCAGACAAGUGUAAAAUUGCCAUUUUGUGAAAGUAAAACUGUAAA